GACGAACGCUGGCGGCGUGCUUAACACAUGCAAGUCGAACGGUGAAGGGACUGGUUUUGCUGGUCCUGGAUGAGUGGCGAACGGGUGAGUAACACGUGAGUAACCUGCCCCCUUCUUCUGGAUAACCGCAUGAAAGUGUGGCUAAUACGGGAUAUUCUGGGUCUGUCGCAUGGUGGGCCUGGGAAAGAUUGUGCCUUUUUUGGUGUUUUUGGUGGGGGAUGGGCUCGCGGCCUAUCAGCUUGUUGGUGGGGUGAUGGCCUACCAAGGCGGUGACGGGUAGCCGGCCUGGGAGGGUGGACGGUCACACUGGGACUGAGACCCGGCCCAGACUGCUACGGGAGGCAGCAGUGGGGAAUAUUGCACAAUGGGCGCAAGCCUGAUGCAGCGACGCCGCGUGAGGGAUGGAGGCCUUCGGGUUGUGAACCUCUUUCGCCAGUGAAGCAGGCCUGCCUCUUUUUGUGGGUGGGUUGACGGUAGCUGGAUAAGAAGCGCCGGCUAACUACGUG
rnacentral:rRNA from 1 species